rnacentral:rRNA from 1 species
GACGAACGCUGGCGGCGUGCCUAAUACAUGCAAGUAGAACGCUGAAGCGAGGAGCUUGCUCUUCUUGGGUGAGUUGCGAACGGGUGAGUAACGCGUAGGUAACCUGCCUUGUAGCGGUGGAUAACUAUUGGAAACGAUAGCUAAUACCGCAUAACAAUGGCUGACACAUGUCAUUUAUUUGAAAGGGGCAAUUGCUCCACUACAAGAUGGACCUGCGUUGUAUUAGCUAGUAGGUGAGGUAACCGCUCACCUAGGCGACGAUACAUAGCCUACCUGAGAGGGUGAUCGGGCACACUGGGACUGAGACACGGCCCAGACUCCUGCGGGAGGCAGCAGUAGGGGAUCUUCGGCAAAGGGGGCAACCCUGACCGAGCAACGCCGCGUGAGUGAAGAAGGUGUUCGGAUCGUAAAGCUCUGUUGUAAGGCAAGAAAGAGUGUGAGAGUGGAAAGUUCACACUGUGACGGUAGCUUAACAGAAAGGGACGGCUAACUACGUGC